rnacentral:rRNA from 1 species
AUUGAACGCUGGCGGCAUGCUUUACACAUGCAAGUCGAACGGCAGCGCGGGCUUCGGCCUGGCGGCGAGUGGCGAACGGGUGAGUAAUGCAUCGGAACGUGCCCAGUAGUUGGGGAUAGCCCGGCGAAAGCCGGAUUAAUACCGCAUACGACCUGAGGGUGAAAGCGGGGGACCGAAAGGCCUCGCGCUAUUGGAGCGGCCGAUGUCGGAUUAGCUAGUUGGUGGGGUAAAGGCUUACCAAGGCGACGAUCCGUAGCUAGUCUGAGAGGACGACCAGCCACACUGGGACUGAGACACGGCCCAGACUCCUACGGGAGGCAGCAGUGGGGAAUUUUGGACAAUGGGGGCAACCCUGAUCCAGCCAUGCCGCGUGCGGGAAGAAGGCCUUCGGGUUGUAAACCGCUUUUGUUCGGGAAGAAAUCCUCUGGGCUAAUACCCCGGGGGGAUGACGGUACCGGAAGAAUAAGCACCGGCUAACUACGUG